rnacentral:rRNA from 1 species
GAUGAACGCUGGCGGCGUGCCUAAUACAUGCAAGUCGAGCGAACGGACGAGAAGCUUGCUUCUCUGAUGUUAGCGGCGGACGGGUGAGUAACACGUGGAUAACCUACCUAUAAGACUGGGAUAACUUCGGGAAACCGGAGCUAAUACCGGAUAAUAUUUUGAACCGCAUGGUUCAAAAGUGAAAGACGGUCUUGCUGUCACUUAUAGAUGGAUCCGCGCUGCAUUAGCUAGUUGGUAAGGUAACGGCUUACCAAGGCAACGAUGCAUAGCCGACCUGAGAGGGUGAUCGGCCACACUGGAACUGAGACACGGUCCAGACUCCUACGGGAGGCAGCAGUAGGGAAUCUUCCGCAAUGGGCGAAAGCCUGACGGAGCAACGCCGCGUGAGUGAUAAAGGUCUUCGGAUCGUAAAACUCUGUUAUUAGGGAAGAACAUAUGUGUAAGUAACUGUGCACGUCUUGACGGUACCUAAUCAGAAAGCCACGGCUAACUACGUG